rnacentral:rRNA from 1 species
AGAUGCGAUCAUACCAGCACUAAAGCACCAGAUCCCAUCAGAACUCCGAAGUUAAGCGUGCUUGGGCGAGAGUAGUACUAGGAUGGGUGACCUCCUAGGAAGUCCUCGUGUUGCAUUCC